rnacentral:rRNA from 1 species
UACGGAGGGUGCGAGCGUUGUUCGGAAUCACUGGGCGUAAAGGGCGUGUAGGCGGUCCGUUAAGUCUGAUGUGAAAGCCCGGGGCUCACCCCCCGGAAGUGCAUUGGAAACUGGCGGACUCGAGUCCCGGAGAGGAGGGUGGGAAUUCCGUGGUGUAGCGGGUGAAAUGCGUGAGAUAAUCAGGAGGAACACCGGUGGCGAAG